rnacentral:rRNA from 1 species
GUGGGGAAUCUUCCGCAAUGGACGAAAGUCUGACGGAGCAACGCCGCGUGAGUGAAGAAGGUUUUCGGAUCGUAAAGCUCUUUCGUUAGGGACGAACGUGCUCUUUGUGAAUAAUGAGGAGUAAUGACGGUACCUAAAUAAGAAGCCACGGCUAACUACGUGCCAGCAGCCGCGGUAAUACGUAGGUGGCAAGCGUUGUCCGGAAUUAUUGGGCGUAAAGCGCGCGCAGGCGGGAUAUCAAGUCUGUCUUAAAAGUGCGAGGCUCAACCUCGUGAGGGGACAGAAACUGGUAUUCUUGAGUGUCGGAGAGGAAAGUGGAAUUCCAAGUGUAGCGGUGAAAUGCGUAGAGAUUUGGAAGAACACCAGUGGCGAAGGCGACUUUCUGGACGAUGUCUGACGCUGAGGCGCGAAAGCCAGGGGAGCGAACGGGAUUAGAAACCCCGGUAGUCC